CGCGUCUCACUAGAAUUCUACAGCUUGCAUCGGUGGUCCGCAUGACGCGGAAAUGCCCCAUGCCUGACGUGCCUGCCCUGUUUAAUCUGCAGAUUGCU
rnacentral:sRNA from 1 species